AACAUCGCGCACCUGCGGGAACCUGCGGAGGGAUCAUUACCGAGUGUGGUCCCUUAUAAGGGGCGCCUCCCGUCCUUUGCAGGGCCUUUAGGGGCUUUUUGACUUUGCUUCGGCGGGCUUGCCCCGCCGGAACACCCUCAAGAAAAUCUUUAUGAACCGUUUGUCUGAGUUGCUUGCGAAUAAAAACAAAACUUUCAGCAACGGAUCU
rnacentral:misc_RNA from 1 species